rnacentral:rRNA from 1 species
ACUGCCUGAUGGAGGGGGAUAACUACUGGAAACGGUAGCUAAUACCGCAUAACGUCGCAAGACCAAAGAGGGGGACCUUCGGGCCUCUUGCCAUCAGAUGUGCCCAGAUGGGAUUAGCUAGUAGGUGGGGUAACGGCUCACCUAGGCGACGAUCCCUAGCUGGUCUGAGAGGAUGACCAGCCACACUGGAACUGAGACACGGUCCAGACUCCUACGGGAGGCAGCAGUGGGGAAUAUUGCACAAUGGGCGCAAGCCUGAUGCAGCCAUGCCGCGUGUAUGAAGAAGGCCUUCGGGUUGUAAAGUACUUUCAGCGGGGAGGAAGGCGAUGNGGUUAAUAACCGCGUCGAUUGACGUUACCCGCAGAAGAAGCACCGGCUAACUCCGUGCCAGCAGCCGCGGUAAUACGGAGGGUGCAAGCGUUAAUCGGAAUUACUGGGCGUAAAGCGCACGCAGGCGGUCUGUCAAGUCGGAUGUGAAAUCCCCGGGCUCAACCUGGGAACUGCAUCCGAAACUGGCAGGCUUGAGUCUCGUAGAGGGGGGUAGAAUUCCAGGUGUAGCGGUGAAAUGCGUAGAGAUCUGGAGGAAUACCGGUGGCGAAGGCGGCCCCCUGGACG